UAAGGAAUAUUGGACAAUGGGCGCAAGCCUGAUCCAGCCAUGCCGCGUGCAGGAUGAAGGCCUUCGGGUUGUACACUGCUUUUGUACGGAACGAAAAGACUCUGGUUAAUACCUGGGGUCCAUGACGGUACCGUAAGAAUAAGCACCGGCUAACUACGUGCCAGCAGCCGCGGUAAUACGUAGGGUGCGAGCGUUAAUCGGAAUUACUGGGCGUAAAGCGUGCGCAGGCGGUUAUAUAAGACAGUUGUGAAAUCCCCGGGCUCAACCUGGGAAUUGCAUCUGUGACUGUAUAGCUAGAGUACGGUAGAGGGGGAUGGAAUUCCGCGUGUAGCAGUGAAAUGCGUAGAUAUGCGGAGGAACACCGAUGGCGAAGGCAAUCCCCUGGACCUGUACUGACGCUCAUGCACGAAAGCGUGGGGAGCAAACA
rnacentral:rRNA from 1 species